rnacentral:rRNA from 1 species
GACGAACGCUGGCGGCGUGCUUAACACAUGCAAGUCGAACGGAAAGGCCCUGCUUUUGUGCGGUGCUCGAGUGGCGAACGGGUGAGUAACACGUGAGUAACCUGCCCUUGACUUUGGGAUAACUUCAGGCAACUGGGGCUAAUACCGGCUAGGAGCUCCUGCUGCAUGGUGGGGGUUGGAAGGUUUCGGCGGUUGGGGAUGGACUCGCGGCUUAUCAGCUUGUUGGUGGGGUAGUGGCUUACCAAGGCCUUGACGGGUAGCCGGCCUGGGAGGGUGACCGGACACAUUGGGACGGAGAUACGGCCCAGACCCCAACGGGAGGCAGCAGUGGGGAAUAUUGCACAAUGGGCGGAAGCAUGAUGCAGCAACGCCGCGUGCGGGAUGACGGCCUUCGGGUUGUAAACCGCUUUCGCCUGUGACGAAGCGUGAGUGACGGUAAUGGGUAAAGAAGCACCGGCUAACUACGUG